rnacentral:rRNA from 1 species
CGGACGGGUGAGUAAUGUCUGGGAAACUGCCCGAUGGGAGGGGGUAACUACUGGAAACGGUAGCUAAUACCGCAUAACGUCGCAAGACCAAAGAGGGGGACCUUCGGGCCUCUUGCCAUCGGAUGUGCCCAGAUGGGAUUAGCUAGUAGGUGGGGUAACGGCUCACCUAGGCGACGAUCCCUAGCUGGUCUGAGAGGAUGACCAGCCACACUGGAACUGAGACACGGUCCAG